rnacentral:rRNA from 1 species
GGUGGUUAUAGCGUUGGGGUUCCACCUCUUCCCAUUCCGAACAGAGAAGUUAAGCCCAACCACGCCGAUGGUACUGCAUAGAGUGGGAGAGUAGGUAACUGCC